rnacentral:rRNA from 1 species
AGAGUUUGAUCAUGGCUCAGGACGAACGCUGGCGGCGUGCUUAACACAUGCAAGUCGAACGGAAAGGCCCCUUCGGGGGUGCUCGAGUGGCGAACGGGUGAGUAACACGUGGGUGAUCUGCCCUGCACUUUGGGAUAAGCCUGGGAAACUGGGUCUAAUACCGGAUAGGACCACGGUCUGUAUGGGCUGUGGUGGAAAGCUUUUGCGGUGUGGGAUGGGCCCGCGGCCUAUCAGCUUGUUGGUGGGGUGAUGGCCCACCAAGGCGACGACGGGUAGCCGGCCUGAGAGGGUGUCCGGCCACACUGGGACUGAGAUACGGCCCAGACUCCUACGGGAGGCAGCAGUGGGGAAUAUUGCACAAUGGGCGCAAGCCUGAUGCAGCGACGCCGCGUGAGGGAUGACGGCCUUCGGGUUGUAAACCUCUUUCAAUGCCGACGAAGCGCAAGUGACGGUAGGCGUAGAAGAAGCACCGGCCAACUACGUGCCAGCAGCCGCGGUA